CUGGACAUCAAGAGCCGCCUGGAGCAGGAGAUCGCCACCUACAGGAGCCUCCUGGAAAAUCAGGACAUCAAGACUCAGAUACCAGGUGGACCUAUCACCAUCAGCACAGGUGGAACAACAACAACAACAACAACAAUCCAGAAGACACAGCAUACCUUCUAAAUGCUAAAUGCACAUCACAAUGCUUUAUGAGACAAUAUCUGGACACACACAUACAUUUGGUUUUGAAUGCAUACUGAGAACAAGCGUUACUGAGAAAAAAAACAGAUGAUGCUCUUAUUUGUGUGUGAUAAAACUCUAAAAAAUAAAGCUACUGUUGUGAAUUACUUUUACA
ensembl:lncRNA